AUACGUAGGGGGCGAGCGUUGUCCGGAAUGAUUGGGCGUAAAGGACGCGUAGGCGGCCCGGUAAGUCUGGAGUGAAAGUCCUGCUUUUAAGGUGGGAAUUGCUUUGGAUACUGUCGGGCUUGAGUGCAGGAGAGGUAAGUGGAAUUCCCAGUGUAGCGGUGAAAUGCGUAGAGAUUGGGAGGAACACCAGUGGCGAAGGCGACUUACUGGACUGUAACUGACGCUGAGGCGCGAAAGUGUGGGGAGCAAACAGGAUUAGAUACCCUGGUAGUCCACACUGUAAACGAUGAAUGCUAGGUGUAGGGGGUAUCGACCCCUUCUGUGCCGCAGUUAACACAAUAAGCAUUCCGCCUGGGGAGUACGGCCGCAAGGUUGAAACUCAAAGGAAUUGACGGGG
rnacentral:rRNA from 1 species